GGAGCUGGAGUCAUUUGGCUGCUGUGUGAAGAACAGAGAGUCAGUGCUCUGAGGAGCUGCCCAUGAGAAACACCAAGCAGAUCUUUCCAUCCUGCACGGGCAGUGAGUUCAGUAGCAGUUCAGUUGCAUAAGGAGCUUGGGAGAUGAUUGUGCAGAAACAGGGAUGACAUCUGAGUGGUUCAGAGUGUUCCAGAGGGGGACUCCAGUGAUGUGAGUGAAUUUUGGGAUGUUGGCUGCUACGAGCCCCAACAGAUGAAGCUCCCUGCAAGGAAAUGAUCUUUUCUGCAGAUGCCAAACAAGCCCUGACGUGUGACAGCCCAACAGGAAUGUUCCUAGAGUCCAUGCUAACAUGGGAAUGAUUUCUGAAAAUAUGGAUACCACAAAUAUUACCAGCUUUAUCAGUUGUUUAAUUUACAUUAAUUUUCCCCGCUGAGCAAUAUAUAAAUAUUCAUGGCGCUAUCAGAUUAGUUUACACUUUGAGAAGUUAUCAGAGAUGAGAGAGAGAAAUAUGGCAUAAAUAUUUUAAUUCUUCUAAGCAUGUAGUUCCUUUGAAUCCCUGAUGAUAGUCACAAUGACAUUAUGAGAAGAAAAAACUUUUAUAAUAAAUUUCAUUCACGGAAGGAGUCACCAGUGAAGUUCAAUAGUAUUUAUUAUAAAACUCUUUGUGAAUCCAGUGGAAUUGUUAUCUUGUAGGUCUUUUUCUUCUUUGCAUGUGUUUGAUCAAUAUUGGUUGAACUAUGGCUGGGCUUUGAAGGCAAUAAAUGAGUUGUUAAUGAG